CUGGUCUGAAAAUACCAGGACUGAUGUAUUCCUCAAUUGAAGGGAGAAGCAGUGUAUUCUAGGAUAGUUUUGAUGUCUUCAAUUAGUGGGACUGAAAAUCAGAUGGCUAAGGGUGCAGAUGCAUUUUUUUUUAAUAGAAAAGGAGUGAAGAAUUGAAAUGAUAAUCCACUCCAUCAUACUGUGCUACAAAGUUUGGACUUUAUAUAGAAAAUGAAGAGUUACCAAAGCCAAUUACAGUAACAGAGGUGAAUAUUUUCGUGAGAUCUCAGAUGCCAAUAUCCAGAAGUACGCGGCUGGCUCCAGUAUUUUUGAAAACGCACUUAAACCACAUCUGAGAAUUGGGCAAUGAAAAGAAGACAUCAUUGGAUACUAUAUCUGACCUUUGCUUUUGCUACCAGCAACAUAAAGUAAUACCAUUUACUGCACAGGUCAAAUCGAAAAACCAUGUGAAGAUGCCAUGGCCUUUUUUUUCUCCAGAGCUACCAGUCACACUUCCUAAAUCUUCAUACCCAAGGAGGGUGACCUUCACAGACUACAUGGUUCUCCAGCCGAAUAUAUGCACUUUCCCGCUGGAUCCACCAAACAAAUAAAUAAUGGUAAAGCAAGAAAAUUCAAUAUCUUAACUACAAUAAAGUCAUCCUGAAUAGGUACAAUAGAAUAGGCCCAGCAACCCAGACAAAAUGCUUCGUUCCCCUUUUCUGUUUUGUAUUUUAAGUCUGUGCAUGAAAAAAAGACUUCAUGCUUAUAUGAAAAAGGAUUCUCCUGAUUUAGUGACAGUAGGACCUGUAUUUUUGGUGUCUUCCACACACUCUGAUUCAGGUUGUCUUUAUGUAACAAGCAUUUACUCUGAACCUACUAAGAACCUGGCACCACGUUGAGUGCUUAAUGAACAGUUCUUGCUUUUAACAGCUCACAUCUAGUAUAGCAACAGCUGAAGUAGCAGGUAGAUAUAAUGUGAUAUUGUGAGUGCUGAACUAAAGAGAUACAGGUACAAAUAGUUUUAAAAAUGCUAAAGAAAUUGAAUGAGUCAAGAUUGGGUUCACAUGCAAAUGAUAGAAAAUAUAAGUUUAGUUCUUUCCACAUAGACAAUUUUUGGUAGUAGGCAGUCCAAGCUGCCCACUGUCUCCACAGUCACCAGGAACUCAGCUUCCUGCUAUCUAGAUACUCUGCUGUCAUCAACACUUGACUUCCACCUCAUGGCUAUUCAAGCAUCAGCCACCAAAUCAAUAAUCUAGCAAGCAGAAAGAGGAAAGGAGUGAAGAAUGCCAUGCUCUCCUCUCUUUAAGGACACUUCUAGAAGCACAGCACUUCUGACUACAUCCUGUUCACCAAACCUUGACCAUACGACUGGCCAUACCUGGCAGCAAGAGAGGCUGAUACAGUCUUUAUUCUGGAAAGCCAUAUGCUGGCUGCAAACUGGAAGUUCAUUAACUGAGUAAUAAGAGAGGUCAGUUAUUAGAAGAUAAUGGACUUUUUCUGCCUCAGGAUUUCAGGCCCGGGAGAAAAAAUUUUAUCUGGAAAGGAAGAGCAUGUCUGGAAGGCUUCCUGGAGGUGACAUUUAGUCUGGGUUUCUGAGGAAGGGAAGGAGUAUAUCGAAUAAAAAAUCAAAGGAGGCACUAUACAGGCAAAGGGAGCAGUACCAGAGUUGGCACUCAGAAACAGCUAGCCUGAGUAUGAAAUGUAAUCAGUCACAAUAGAUCCAUUUUAUGCUGAGUGAGAAUCUAAAGGAAAUAUUUCACAAUGUUCUCAAUAUCUGAGCAAUUUUGUCUAAUCACAUGCAUCUAGCUGCUAAAGACUAAAUUAUCACAUCAUGCUCACAGAAGUGAAACAUAAUUAGAAAAUAUAUUUAUUGAAAUCAUUGUCCAUGUACAUUAAAUUGGAUAAUCACUUGUUAAAUUAGGAAAGAUAUUCAGAAAGUUAAUUAAUCUUGGAUUUCGGUUAUGACAUGUAGCAAGUGUGAAACAACCAUCUCUAAGGCCAUUUACACACAUGUUCAUUUAUUAAUAGGCAUCACAAUAGCAUAACAUCUUGCUUAAAACAAAGAAACAAUUAGUCCUGAAACAGAAAAGCACACAACACAGAACAGGCAGGAUAGCAUAGUGAUAGUAAUAACAACAGCACACACUUAGCAAAUACUUGCUACGUGCCAGGUAUUCUUCUAAGCACUUGGCACAUAUGAACUUCCUUAAUCUUCACAACACUGCGAGCUAGGUUUCUAUCACUGUCUCCAUUUUUACUGAGGAGGAACUGAGGCUCGGAGAGGUUAAGUAACUUGCUCAAAGUCCCUUGGCUGAUAUAUAGGGACACACAAACACAAACCCAUGCAGCCCAGAUCCUUAACCACUCUACUAGGUCAUAAAAGGAAGAGGGUUAUGGGAUAGAUCCCACCUCUAUGACUAACUAGCAAUGAGACUCUUGGGUAAGUUAUUUCACCCCUCUUUGUCUUAGUUUCUUUGUUACUGUGACUGAAUAAGAGGCUGCAUGUAAAAGUUGUCUCCUGGGGCCUGGCACAAAGUAAGUGCUCAGUAGUUAAAAGGGCCUGGCAUGGCGGCUUGUACUUGUAAUCUCAACUACACGGGAGGCUAAGGCAGGAAGAAUCACUUGAGGCCAGGAGUUUGAGAUCACUCUGGGCAACAUACUGAGACCCCCUACUUAAAUUUUUUUUAAAAAUGGCUGAAAGGUUUAAUGAGAUCGAGUUAUUAAUUAUAAAGACUAGCCAAUAUUUGGUCCUUAAAUACACUAACAAAAAGGCAGACCAAAAACUAUUUCUGACACGCUGUUAAAUUCUCUUUCAAAAGAAUAAAAUCUCUCUUUCUUCUACCCAUUUACCCCAGUCCCCUGAGGUCUGUCUCUCUGCUGGUUCUUGAGUUUGAGCUGCUUUUUACAGCCAUCUGUUACAGUGUUGUGUAACAACAAACAAUAUCCUCCUAAAAAUGUUUACAAAUGCUUCUUACAUUAGGGCUGUAUAUUUUUUCAUUAUGCUGUGGCAUCUCCAUUGAAAAAUUAUUUUAAUCAUUGCAAACUGAAUUACACAAGGAUAAUGCAUAAAGAGAUAGUACUUAAAAGGCUGAAUGUACAUUAAUUGCUUCAGCUAAUGAAAGAAACAUGACUUAGCCAAUGCACACAACAUGAAUCCUAAGAUGCAUGGACAAUUGACUACGGUAAUAAAACAAGUAUUAGUGUGUUAAAUCUGAAAUCCUCAUUAUGCUUCAUGCAGCAAAACCGACUGUGUACCUGCUGUUCAGUGUGCAUUUCCUCCUCUUGACACCAAGAGCUAAUUAUAGAACAAGGCACAGAGUGAAAGCAUGUGACCUACGUUUGGGGACCUUCAACAACACUGCAAAGUUAUGUUUGGUGACUUCUUAUUUUCUUUUUAAGCUGAUAAAAUAUGUGUUGGCCUAAAUGAUUUUGGAAUAUCUUGAUGUUCUGUAGGCAAUUUUAAUUAAAAUAUGAAUUAUUUAUAUAUGCACACAGUUUAUUUCACUUACAUUGGGAUCUUGCUUUAUCUCCCUUGGCUCUAUCAAUUAGUAAAUUGUUAAUGCAGGGAUAAUUUAUGUCACAGUGUUCAAGAUGCUGGCCAUUGAUUUCUUUGCCUGUCUUUCAUUUCACGAACCCAAAGUAAAGAUGAUGAUAAAAUCAUGGCAUUUAAGAGAUAAGAAGAGAAGUAAAUGUCUUCUUAUUGCUGCUUAUCUAGAAUCACAUGGCAUAAAUGUUAUAGUAAGUUAUAAACAGACUGCAUUAACCUACCACCUUCCAUUUAUAGAGUAAAAAUAUCAUGUUAUUAGGAACCUCACAAAAAGCUGAUAUACUUUAAACCACCACCCCCAUUUUUGAGAAACUUUGAGGGCACUACCAAUAUACUUCAAGGGAUAUGAACAGUUGGCUUAAUUCAAAGUAACUGCUUGAUAUGGUUUGGCUUUGUGUCCCCACCCAAAUCUCAUAUUGAAUUGUAAUCCCAUAAUCCCCACGUGUUGUGGGAGGGACCCAGUGGGAGGUGAUUGAAUCAUGGGGGUGGUUUCCCCCAUGCUGUUCUCGUGAUAGUGAGUGAUUUCUCAAGAAAUCUAUGGUUUUAUAAGCAUCUGGCAUUUCCCCUGCUUGGGUUCAUUUUCUCUCCUGCUGCCCUGUGAAGCAGUGCCUUCCACCAUAAUUGUAAGUUUCUUGAGGCCUCCCUGGCCGUGUGGAACUUUCAGUCGAUUAAACCUCUUUUCUUUAUAAAUUACCCAGUCUCAUAUAUUUCUUCAUAGCAGCGUGAGAACAAACCAAUUACCAUAAGUGGGAAAAGAAAGUAUUUCUUUUCUGGUAGAACCAGAUCUAGAAAAUAAAUCUUUUUCUCUUUCAUAGUUUAUACUACAUGUUGUCUUUUUAAAUUAUUUUCUCAUAAAGCCUUGGAUAUGUUUAAAUGUAUUUCUUUUGUGUUUCUUCCCAGAUUUGUAAAUUGAUGACUUUGGUGCCAACUAGCCUCACAUUUUGGAUGGACACAAGGGCCUUUCAGAGUUCUUUUUAAAAAAAAAAUGUUGGGCAAAAUUCUCUUUAACUGGCAAUACUUAAGAACUCUGCAGAUCAGAUUUUAGUUCUGCUAGAACCAAUGUGCAUCUUCCCCAUUUGUUCAGAGGAUAAUGAUGACAAUUUCCAUUUACACAUUGCAUUUCAUCUGGAAGGCACUCUCUCUCACACACUACAUCACUGUCUUCCACCUUCAGCAUGGCAACAGGAAAUGCCAACUGCAUUAUCACAGUCAUUGGUCAGUGAGGAGAAGAGAACCCCCAAAGCAAACACCGCAUCAGAGGCUGGAAGAAAGGCAGGAAGGCCAAAAGUGCAGUCAACACAUUGCUGUGUUUGCUUGGAAGGAUGGAAUUUACUAUGCGCUAACUUCCCUACAGUCAGAAAUGUCUAAGAAAUUUAUCCCAGUAAGUAAGGGAUGGGUGAUGCUGCCUCAUUUGAAAGUUGUGUGUGAUGUUGUAGGGGUGCGGAGAAGGGUGCAGGGGAGAUUGGACUUGAGAGAUGGAGAACGCAG
rnacentral:lncRNA from 10 species